GCGAGUUCCAUCCCCAACCUGUCAGUGUGUGCAGUCUCUUAACAUGAUAUCUCCACCAGCUCUGCAUAACCAGCACGACAGCCCUCCAGCGCAGCGAGCACUCUGAUUUUCCAUGGACGGAUGAAUCACUCUCGAAUGAACACUUAGUGACCCGUGGAUUGAAGGCCAAGAUUAGCCUUAGCAACCGAGGCUCUCUGGGGUCCGUAAUCGAUGUCGAGGGCUGAAUGUCAUGCUGUUUACCUGAGCUCUCUCCCCUGGUCAUCUGCUCCAAGUCACAGCGGGUCGGGUGUGGUAUAACUGUGGAAUGCAUAGGUGCAGUGUUUUGAAAUCAGCUGGCACCUUCACACGUUGGGAGCCACACAGCGACACCUGGCAGCGUCUCCGUUUCUCUGUUGAAAUCACUUACUCCGCUGUUUCGCCCAAGCUGUUCUGGAUAUUUGGGAGGCUCCUGCCAAGGAUCCGCACUCUACAUCUGCCAGAGUGAGAGAAGGGUUUGGAAACACUUGUAAAAGAUGAGGCAUUUUUCUAAAUGCUUUAUAUUGGAAUUAAGAGUUGAGGAAACGCUGUCUCACGUGUCACUUGAUAAUAUUCCCCUCCCGGCGUCCGUGUGGUGCAGAGGAUGAAGAAAUUAAUGUUAAUGUUUAAUCCUUGAAGAGGAGACCCUGUUCCCAUGGAGACGCUCGUUUGCCGCGCGCAGAACACAAUCCAGGUGUUGGUGGGGGUCAGCAGCUCCUGAAUUAGUGAUAGUGAACAGCGAGCCGUACUGCUAGUCACAAGCAGCGAGCCGCAAAGAGAGUUAAUUAAGUCGAUAUGACACACUCGAGCACAUGUUCAGCAGUUUGCACAUGCACGCACACAUCUACAUCUACUGAAGUGUGGCUGCAACCGCACAUUAAAGAUUUAGACUUCCUGGCAAGUUGAAUGAAAAAUCUCCAAGUCAAGCUGAGCUCAUUAGUUAAGCUUCAAGGAUCAUCUGGCCUGCAAAUGAGUUUAUUUUUGUCCCUGUGUGCAGUCUGCGUGAGUGAGUGGGUGUGCGUCCAUCUUUUCAAUUACUUUCAUUGUUCAGAGGUGCCAAAUCAGUAACUCAUGUCCCUUCUGCACUGGGCCGCCGCCGAGGACUCAUACUUAACAGAUAAAUGUUCUUAAGUACACUAAUUAUCCUAACACGGGCGUCAGCGGGCAGGUUGUUUUUCCUUUCUGUCUGCUGUGCCCGGCAGUGGGACCCCUGAAGUUGAGCCCCGUGAAUUACAUCAGACAGAGGUAAAUGUAUGAAAGCACAUAACUGUCGUCAAUACCGUGAUGAAUUUAAUAUUAUACAUGUCAAUAAAAUCAGUCAGCACAAAGUCACAUAUGGGUUCAAUAAACUAACUACAUCCAAUGCAACAAACAUUACAAAACUGCAAAACAAUAAUUGUGUUGUCUGUAGUUAGAUUUUGUUUUGAUGUGCAGAAUGCAUUUGUUACAUAAAUUCUUUUAUCGAGAAUGACACAGUGACUGGAGUCACGUUUGAACGUUUUACUUGCAGCAAGGACUUCAUGCAUGCCCUCCAGCAGCUACACAAUCAGCCGACCAUAGUGAGGUCCUCCUGUCCUAGAUACGUAGAGACAGCCUUGACAGAGAGACGUCAGCCACUCAUAACACAGGAGGUGUAUGCAGACUGCUUCUGUGCCUUGUCUGCGGGGCCUUUACCAGAGUUGUGGUGAAGUGGAUGAGACAGUUUAACCUCCGUAUUUUUUCUGCAGCAUUCAGCUCUGAUGAUCCGACCCUCGUUGCCCCGGCUCUUCAGAUCUUUAAGUUACGGGCAGGCGGCACAUGUAGUGGCGCUGCGAGUCAGCGAGCGCAGAGUGGAUUAACAGAUCAGGUUAUUUUGAUCUUUUGAUGAGGUACAGCUUCUAUUCGAAGAUCUCUGCACAGGGUUAAGAUGUUUCGCUGACACCACAUCGACAGGUUGAAGUCAGGUGAAGGAGCACCUCUGCUAUUAGGCUACACGAAAAAAAUAAACACAUGGAGUUAAUAAGCGUAGGCAACGGUUUCAGAUCACACACACACACACACAUACAUAUAUAUGUAUGUAUAACACAGCUGGGUCACUGGUACUAAGGUUACUGUAUAUAAUUUCAUAAUUUUAUCAUUUUAUUAUUUUAUCAUUUUCAACACUUCACUGCUGGCUGCUGAUUUUAAUGUCAUGAUACGGUGAGUACUUUCAAGGUUACCAAUGUAGAACAGAAACUACAAGCAAAAUGCUUCAACAGCAAACAACCAUGCAGGUACUUGCUUAGCUUGUUUAAGCGCACAAAUGCUGAUUUUAUUUUUGGUAUCAGUACAAAGCUCUUCACACUGUUUAGUUAAAGGUAGCACGCUCAUUGUAUUUUAGGAGAACUGUACUUAGAUUCGCUGAUGCUCUCCCUCAUCACUCACGUAUGGACAUUAAAGGCAGAGAUAGGUGCAUCAGUUGGAAGCAAUGGAAGAAAACAACAACGCAAUACAUGUCUGGGAAGGCAUUAUAUGUCACGUGUUCCAGAAAAUUUACAAAAAAACAUUUAGUGAACUUCCAACGUUUCACUUUACAGCAAAAAUUCCCAUUUAAUGAGCCUGCACAGCACAACAUUCACUCACCAGUUCAUAAGUUACACUUUAUGAAUAUGGAUGCAUUCUAAUACGACAGCCCUGAACUAACUAACUAUCUUGAUGACAGCUAUGGUUUUCAGGAUUUGUAGCUGUAACAACAUGUGUUUCUUAUAUUCAGACGACACCAUUUCAGGGGUUUAAAGUGGGUAGGUAGUGGGCUAGGCUAAAUAAAAGAAAGCUUUAAUUCAAUACACUUUAACAGCACCACAAACUACAUCCUCCAACACGAUCAUCCCGUCGAACCAGAAAAGUGGUAAACGACCGCAAAGGAGAAGUCAGCGCAGGGCAGUUACAUUGGAGUGAAUUUUCUCUGAACUGUUUUAAUUAGUGUACCUAAUGAACUGGCAGGUGAUCUCUUUUGGUGUACUUAAAUUAUAAUAACGUUCUCAUACCCUAUCAGAAAGCAUAGACGUAAAUUAUAAUAACCUGACACAAUCAUUAAAAAUCUAACAAACAUCUCUGAUUAAGAGCCGAUUUGUGAACAGACAGUGGAGAAAGGUCGACAAAUUAAUCUUUAUCUUUCCUCUCUCAAGAUCACUGGUCAUAUUCAAGAGGCCGCCAAGAGAAAUGAGUUUAACAGCAGUUUAGUUUCCAUUUUGUUCCUGUGCUCACUCAUUGAUUCCUAUGUGAUGUCUGGCAGCUGCACUCUGCUGAUUGCAGCAGUUUGAGUAGGAGUUUGGAUCCGCUCCAAAUCUAAUACUAAGCUAAAGAGGGGGGAAGCCCUCUUCAUUAAUCUAAAUGUUCAGUUGUAAUGCAAAAGUCGUUAAAAAUAUGUUUUAUUAGCGGGCGCCCUCAUAUUUCAGGGGUUAUUUGCUGAAACACAGAUGAAAUGGAAAACUCGAACCUUUGUUUUAUUAAAACUUUAAGUGUGUUCUGCACGGAGCAGCUGUCCAUAUGGUAGCUUUGGCACAAUAGGAUUGUCUGGAGCUGUUUAGAGAUAAACUGCACAGAAGGUCAAACCUCAGUGCAUGUUACUGUUCGCUGCUGUUCAUUGUUUGUGUAGUCUUUUGACCUUUUUCUCCUUCUUCCACGAGAACCACAAACAUUUAUAUCUAAGAAGCUUUGACUUCCUUCCUCGGGCUACAACAAUGCGACAGGAGAUUUAGUUUGCUGCAGAAAACAGAAAAGUUAAAGUUUGAUCCAGUGAUCGACAGCAUCAUGAAACAAAAUGCAAUUAAAUGCGAAAGAGAAAUAGGGGUUAAAGGAGCUUAACAGUAUUACAGUGAGUGAGAACAGGAGGUGAGUUCGCCCACUAAUUAAGACAACCUCAUUAUGGAAUUAUGGUUGUUCGUGAGAGGUGAAGGUGACAUGAUGCCGUUCCCCCACGUCUGGAUGCUUUUAGUACGUCUUCAGCACAGAAAGUCAAACCAUGUUGACAUUUUCUUAUAUUGAAUUUGUAUUCCAGUUUUUAGUCCUGAUUUAGAUUUUAGUGACUCUUUAUUGCUAUUUAAUCAAAUAGUGAUUAUUUAUGGGUCGGAGGUAUAAUGUGACAUAGUCGAGUGAGUUACUUCAUGACUUAAACAUCUCAGAAUAAAUUGAAUAACUUCUUAAUCUCAUUACUCAUCCUCUUCAAAUGUAACCUCUCACAGUGAUACUGACUCUGAAUGGAGUUUUAAAGUUAUGACAUUGUAGAUAGACUAUAAGCUCCUAUUUACGCGUUAUCUUACUGGUAUUUGUCAUUAUAGAUUUACUGGCGGCAGCUGUUGUGAGUAAUCCUAAACAUGGCCUCUGUUUCCCUCUAGUGGUCACACGCUACAUCUCAACCAGCGAUCACAUGGUUUCUUUUCUGCUCCCUUUUUUUUUUUUUUUUUUUAAAUCCAAAUCAGGAAGCUGGAUUUGCGGUAAUUCUGUCUGUUAUUGAUUAGAUUUGUGGUUUUAAAGAUUAGGUUAUACUUCCUGAAACCGUCUGUCUGCUCAUAUUAGUGUGAAAAGUUUACGGACCUCUACCCAACUUUUCUAAAAGUCUUUCUAAAAAGGCAAAACAAGGCUCCAUUUGGCCAAAAACAACUAUCAAAGCAUAAUUGCCAAGUAUGUUUUUUUACAAUACUGUUACAAUAUCAAUAAAAAUACCAAUGUGCUUGCUAAAGAUUCUUUUUUUUUUCUUGUUUUCCAAAAACGUCCAUAUAUGUUGUUAUGCUAACGAUAUACUGUCAGGGUUUUCAUAGUGUAUCUCUUUUAAACCUGGAAGCUCAUCAUAAGCUUUUAGAAAUUUAGAGGGAACCUUACAGCAGGUGCUUGUUGCUUGACUGCACAAUGUUCCUCUAUAAUAUCAGUAAGAUCUAACCUUAUAGAAAGGCUCUUGAUGCUUCCCUUUUGGUGGAGCACAUGUAUUAAAUGACUGUAUUGAAAAGAAAAGAUCCUGAUCUGUGAUUAUAUCACCACAACAAAACUGGUUUGAUUUGAGAUCAAUGUAGUUUUGAAGAUCAAACGAAACCAUUAAACGCUUAAUUUUCUCUGUAUUUUUUUCACUUUACAUUUGUUUAAAGUUUUACCUUUUCAGCGCUCUGUAAACCUUUCAACUGGAAUAAUUUUAGGAGGAAACAUUCCCUGUUGGAACGAAUCUGCUUCUCUUUAAAUCAUGAUUCAGACUAUAUUUUAAAUCCAUUUUAAACAUUUGCAUUAUAUUUAACAAUGCUGUCAACGCCUUAUUUUUCUCAGUUCCUCUGUUUUUCUUCUUCCAUUCUUCUCAACAGACCCAAGAGUUAACAGCUGGUGGCACCCUCCUCUGCAGAAUCACUCUGUGGCUGCAGCGUUUUCGAACAGUUCAUCUUCCUUGUUUGUUUUAUAGUAGGUGAGAUCACCACCUCAUGUCUCUGAAUGGGGUGGUGGGAUGGAGGAUAAGAUUCUCAGUAUUUCUGUAGAGGCACACAACCUGAUGAGCGUGCAAUAGAUCUGGGUGGGUAUAAAUUUUGCAAAACUUUCCAUGAAGUCUUAGAUAUGAGCGCGCUUCUUCUGCGAACAGACAUGUUGGGACAGGAGCGGGUGGCUUGAGGUAUGCCUGCUAUGACCUGCUCCCCACUCUCUAAAUGAACAUUGUAUCCUGAGGCAACAUAUUUCUGCUGUGGUUACUUCUAUGCGUCCUCUGUUCUUUUAAAAUCCCUUUUACACUUUUCAUUGGUUUUAAUAAACUCCUUUAAGUGACAACUUAUUCUAAAUCUCACCACCUGAUGAUUCCUAUCAUUUAUCUUUUCAGAAGUUACAUGUUUAAAGAAAUGUGGGAUGUUUGGGGUGGAGCUUUGAACGGAAUAUUCAAAUCCUCGAAGUUGACUUCAAAUGAGUUUGUGUGUUUUUUCUCUGCAGCUAGACUCACACAACUGAACUAAGAUACUAUAGAUGCACUAUUCAUGAACCUGCCGGACGCCUGAUUAUAAUCCCUACCUCAGUUCAUUUGCGUUCAUCAGUUCACCUGUAUGACUUCAUCUUACGCGUACAGUCAG